AUUGAACGCUGGCGGCAGGCCUAACACAUGCAAGUCGAGCGAGCGGCGGACGGGUGAGUAAUGUCUGGGAAACUGCCUGAUGGAGGGGGAUAACUACUGGAAACGGUAGCUAAUACCGCAUACCAUCAGAUGUGCCCAGAUGGGAUUGGCUAGUAGGUGGGGUAACGGCUCACCUAGGCGACGAUCCCUAGCUGCUCUGAGAGGAUGACCAGCCAAACUGGACCUGGGACACGGUCCAGACUCCUCCGGGAGGCAGCGUGGGGGAAUUUUGCACAAUGGGCGCAGGCCGGAUGCGGCCAUGCCGCGUGUGUGAAGAAGGCCUUCGGGUUGUAAGGCACUUUCAGCGGGGAGGCGUUACCCGCAGAAGAAGCACCGGCUAACUCCGUGCCAGCCGCCGCGGUAAUUC
rnacentral:rRNA from 1 species